AUUUGCAAUAAAAUAAUUAGUUGGAAAAGAAAAUGUCAGGUAAUGAUAUUUUUAUAUACUUUUAAAUAAACACGUUUUAAUGUCAAAUUCAAUUACGGUUAUGGAAUAUCCCUGAAACGGACAGAGUAAUUAUAACGCGGUCUGUGGCAAUCGACGUUUUAGAAAAUUUCAGUCCCGACCACAAGCCACUUUUUCAUUACUGGUCUGGAAAUGCCCCUAAACCGUCAAAAUCAAUUUGAAACACCCACACACAUUAAUAAUAAACCACUCAAUUAACUGUUAAGUGUUCAGUCAUUUCAAUUCGAACGAUUUACAUAAGUUAGAAUUUUAUGUAUUGUGAGGGUGGAUUUUAAUUAAUUCGUGCGGAUUCACUGGUGCUGUCACGUUAUCGAAACGGAUCCAGUCAAUAAUAAAAGCGGCCGCACCGCCGUUCACAAUUUUAUGAAUAAGUGAACAUGAACGUGUAGAUAAACACUGAUAAUGGGGAUCGAACCAUAAACAAAUUACUGUUCUUUGUUUCGAAUUCGAAUGAUUUCGUGUGUACGUUUCGCCGACAUUAUUUCAAUACGGCAAACCUGUGUAUUGUGUAUCGGUGCAAAAAUUCAGUACAGAACUGAACUGGACGGUGCAUUUCAAGAUGCAGGAUGUAAAUUCGUCUUAUGCCAUUACAUAAGACGGGAGGUAUUUCGCGGCGAAUAUCUUCUUCCGGAUGCCGUUCUUGUCCAAACAUAUAUGGUGUGACCCACUUAAGUUGGAGACACCCCCGUCAUUUCUUUAUUUAUAACGCAGUUUUAUUGAAUAAACAAUCGAAAACUCGGUGCUUGACACAAAAAUU